GUGGUGGUGAUUCUCUUGCACCUGUACUAGUUGGCAAUCCAGAGGUAGACGACGAAGUUGACAGCAUUGAGAACGGUGAGCAGCCAGAAGAAGUAGUCGAGAUGGCCGCGGUUGAGGUUGUCGGGGAUCCAUCCGAGGCCGCUGCCCCUGGUGGAUAUGGCGGUGACGAUGACUGAUGAGUAGCGUGCUGAGGUAGUUGCC
rnacentral:sRNA from 1 species